GUUUGCCCGAACAUGUCCUUGAAAGGUUUCGUGCUCAUAUGGUUGCCAGACUUUAACAUUUAGUGUGUCUAAUGAUCCUAAAUGUGGAUACGAGUGAAAAUAGCCCGGGAUAAGAUUUCAAAUAUAUUGUAAUGUGUAAUAUAAAGUAUAUACAAGUAAGGUUCUUAAAAGUGGAAAAUAAAAUCUGUGAAAAAUGGACGAUAUUUGCAUGUUUGGGGUAAUGUUACAGAAAAAUCUGGCAAGACAAAUGGCCGAUUAUUUUAGCCAAUAGGAGGAUGAUGCGAGAUGGUGAAGAUGAAGAUGUAUGUAUCCGUUUCUACAUUUAUUACUACGUUCACUUGACAGGAGUAACCAUUUGCAGUGGCAGAGUUGUAAAUACAUAAAGGAAGUUUAUUUAUUUGUGCCCUGCGGAAAUGGAGACCGGCUUGUGUUCGAAGCAGACUGAAAUCAGGUGUGCUGAGCAGAUUCCAUCCUUGGCUGCUUGGGUCAUUGAAUACGCAUGGAGUCACCGAAUGAUGGACGUACUGGAAGGGUUAGUGCCAUGUAAGAGGCAGAAGGGUGAAUGUCGAUCACUGACCCUGGAGGAGCCUUGUGCUUUGCGUGUAGCGGCAGCACAGGCAUGGUCAGUGGUAAACGCCAGGGACGUCAAACACUUUGAGAGUCUGCUGGAGCUGCUAGAGUCCAUCUACACACUGGUGCCACGGCUCAUCACCCCUAUCAAACACAUGAAGAUUAUGUUUGGCCUUAAGACCAUGAUUGUCAUGUGGAUGUUGCAGAAGAACCAUGGAGAAGUCAGCACCAUGAAGAAAAUAAACCGCUUCUUCCCAAGCAGCCUAUCUUUGUACCAUGGCUGUAGCAAAAGGGAGCUGGAUCUGAUGAAAAAGACCAAUUACGAAUUUAAGCAGCUAGCCCAAUCGCUGCUUUUCCACGAGGAAAUGCGGAAAGCUUACAUCAGUGGCCAGAUGGAGGAGCAUUACGGAGAGAGAUAUGCACAGAAGCUAGAGGAGAGGUUGUUUGACUACCUGCAGCUGCUGGAGAAGGACCUUCAACCAACCACAUGUUUAGACCAGGUUUUGAGACAGGAGCGCCCCCUUGUGGAAGGGGAACAGUUGCUGCUGGGGGUGUUGAGCUAUAGUCCUCACUGUGUGCCUGCAGCACUGAAAAGGCUGCUAUACUAUGCCAAGGCCACACCCUCUAUAGGCCCUGGAAUGAGCCAGCCAUCUACCUGCACUGACAAGGAGAAACAGACACUACAGCCCCUCACAGAUCCUAAAGACAGACCAAAAUGGACACCGCUCCCUGCAGGGCAACCUGGACUGGUGAGGUCCAGCAUGUCCCACAGCAGUUGGAAGGGGUGUGGAAAGGAGAAAGCUACGUCCACACCACUGUGUUCAAGGUCGUCUUGUGCCGAAGGUCGAAGUGACAGGGCAGAACAGAGACUCAGAAAACAGGGCUUGUCUCUGGGUGGGUGGAGCCAUGGGACAAGAGGGCAUGGCCAUGAGGAAAAAGGAUUGAGCCAGGAUAAAAGAGGGUGGGAUCAGAAAGAAAAGGGGCAGGGCCAGAAGGACAGAAGGCGGGGCCCGGGGAAAGAAAGGCAGAAUUGGGGAAGCACUCAGCUGGCAGAACAACACUGUCAGAUGGGGGAUUAUCCCAUGCAGCUAUGCUCCAGACACAAGAGAUGGGUGAGAAACAUACUGCAGGAGUGCUCUGUGGAGGUGGGUGCUCAAAGUGUGGGCAUUCUAAAGGAAUACCCUACGGAGGUAGGAUGUGAAACUGUGAACAUUAUAGAGCAGUGCACUAAGGAGUUAGAGGGUCAAAAUGGGAUCAUUGUGGAGCAGUGCCAUAAUGAGGUGGGGGAGAAAACUGUGAACAUUAUGGAGCAGUGCCCUAAGGAGGUGGGGUGUCAAAGUGUGAACAUUAUGGAGCAGUGCCCUCAGGAGUUAGUGGGUCAUGGUAUGAUCAUUCUGGAGUCAUGCUCUGAGUUAGAGGGUCAGAAUGGGAUCAUUUUGGAGCAGUGCUAUAAGGAGGUGGGGUGUCAAAAUGGGAUCAUUUUAGAGCAGUGCAAUAAGGAGGUGGGGUGCCAAACUGUGAACAUUAUGGAGGAGUGCUCUCAGGAGUUAGAGGGUCAAAAUGGGAUCAUUUUGGAGCAGUGCCAUAAGGAGGUGGGGAAGCAAAGUGUGAACAUUAUGGAGCAGUGCCCUAAGGAGUUGGAGGAUCAAAGUGUGAGUUUUCUGGAGCAGUGCCCUCAGGAGUUAGAGGGUCAAAGUGUGAGUUUUCUGGAGAAGUGCUCUCUGGAAUUUGAGGGUCAAAAUGGGAUCAUUUUGGAGCAGUACCCUCAGGAGUUAGAGGGUCACGGUAAGAGCAUUCUGGAGAUGUGCUCUCAGGAGAUGGUGGGACAGGGUGUGAGAGAUUUGGAGGAGUGUUAUGAGGUGUUGAGAAGGAAUCAGGGUGCGAUUGAGCUUCAGCAGAUACUACCACUCACCUCAUCCCAACCAGUGACGUCAUCCCAUCCAUAUCACUCCCCAAUGAGCUACCAGGGCUGUGGCCAGUACACAGCCAGCUCCCUGGCUAGGGUGGAGAAUGUGGGGCUUGGAGUUCGGAUUUCUGUGGAGAGUCAGCUGAUUCUAAUCCGGUCCCAGAUGCUACAACCCACUGUGCGGGUCAGGAGGCUGACACAAAGGGAGUGUCACCUGGCCACAGGUAUGAGGGGAACUAUGAUUAGACCUGAGGAGGCGGAAGAGGGAAGAGAUAAUGAGGAAGAGGAGGGAGAGGAAAUUGAUGGGAGAGAGGAGGAGGGAGAAUCGGAUGACUGGGAAUCGGAUUUUUCUUAUUCAGAAGUAGACUCUGGUUCUUAUUCUGACCCAGAUUUUAAACCCCCUUCUAGAACAGUAAGUGGAAUUUGGACAGAUGGCAGGAGUGAGAAAGCCUGGGAGAGAUCUGGUGAUUAAUCAAUAGAGCAUUGUCACUGAAGAUCCCAUCUGUUCAACAGAAAGUUCACUCAAAAUAUUUAGCAGUGUUUUCCAGCGCUUCAUGUGAGAUGUUGCAUCAGCGGUUCCCAACCUGGCUCCUAGAGGUCUACUGUCCCAUAGGUUUUCACUCCAACCCUAGCAAAGCACACCUCAAUGAGCAGCUAGAGAUCUCUUUGAGCUGCUAGUUAGUAGAAUUAGGUGUGCCAAAUUAGGGAUGAAAUUAAAACCUACAGGAUGGUUGAUCUCCAGGAGCAGGGUUGGGAACCAUUGUGUUACAUGGUGUGUUUUGCGUGUUUAUUUAAACACUGGUUUCAAAAAAUUGGUGGUGGGGCAACAUAAAGCACUGAGUAUGCAGCCUUCUCAGUCACCAUAUCUGCAUUAUUCUACCACGUAAUGUUCAUUUUUGUCCUGUUUAUGUUUAGAAAUGAAAAAUAAAACUCCAUCUUUGUUCUGUUUCGGAGGUUGGUUCAGCAGAAUCACAUUUUUACUCAAGCAAUUGCCAGGGGUGAACAAACAGACAGACAGGGUCUCUGACUGCACACCAAGUUCAUCAAAGGACAAAAUAAAACUUCUCGUGGGUACAGCGGUUAUAACCAACAAGAAACAGGCAUUCGUGCAGUGCUGUAAAAGAGCAGGGAAGAGGAGUUAAGCAUAGGUAGCAAGGUACCAGCCAUGUACUUGCUCACAGAGAUUUAAUGACCUUGAUAUCUCAGUAGUUUUCCACUUUCACAUGUCUGUGUAACAAUUUGGUGCUCUUCAACAUGCCCCUGGCUAUGGGUGUCGUCCAGGUUGUGCCCUUCUCGGCCAUUCGCCAAAAAGGAGGAUGUGAGUGAAUGAAAUGUUUUUAAAGCCCAGCAUUUAUAAUAAUAUCCUUGCAUUUAUAUAGCACUUUUCCGAAUGCUCGAAGUUCUUUACAGUCAGGGGGAACUCACCUCACCCACCACCAAUGUGUAGCAC